GUAGGCGUUUCAUGGAGGGAAUGUUAAAAUACAAACUGCACUCGGAGAUGCUUAAAUGAAACCAUUUUCGGACAGGGGUUCGAUUCCCCUCGCCUCCA
rnacentral:tRNA from 1 species